UUCUGGUUGAUCCUGCCGGAGGCUACCGCUAUUGGAAUCUGAUUAAGCCAUGCGAGUUGAAAGGGUUUAGACCCUUAGCGGACGGCUCAGUAACACGUGGAGAACCUACCCUCAGGUGGGGGAUAAUCCCGGGAAACUGGGAAUAAUACCCCAUAGGUCUCAUCUGCUGGAAUGCUUUGAGGCUGAAAGUUCCGGCGCCUGAGGAUGGCUCUGCGGCCUAUCAGGUAGUAGUGAGGGCAACGUCCUCACUAGCCGAUGACGGGUACGGGCGUUGAAAGACGGAGCCCGGAGAUGGACUCUGAGACACGAGUCCAGGCCCUACGGGGCGCAGCAGGCGCGAAACCUUCGCAAUGCUCGAAAGAGUGACGAGGGGAUUCCAAGUGCCUACGCUCAGCGUAGGCUGUUUAGAUGCCUAAAACGCAUUUAGAGGAAGGACUGGGUAAGACGGGUGCCAGCCGCCGCGGUAA
rnacentral:rRNA from 1 species